AUGUCAUUAGAGGGCACCGGCAAGUGUCACACCGUCACACUUCGCAGGCACGCAGUAAUGGCGGCAGGCAAGAUGGCGGCGCCCUUAGAGUUUGCGGCGGAUUUGUGUAUAGAGUUUUUGUGCGCUAGUGUGCCCAUUCUUUACUUUACGAAGUUUAGAUAUCUCUUUUACCCGUUUACCGUAAGGCUUUUAGAAUCAGAUAACCACUUUACGAACCCUCAUUCGUCUCGCUUAUGGACACAACACAGGCCGAGGUAAGCUGAAAGUGGGACGCCAGAGUUUGCUACAAUGUUAUGAGCACCAGACAUUUGUCUCCCAUCUUUCUGGAUUCUAUGGGUGCCAGUGGAGACGUUACCAGCUCACACAUGCUCAGUCUGGACACUUCUGCUGCUCUAAGGUGCUCUCAUUUGAACUUAUAAUGCACAUGCUGACUGACCAUUUAAAUUAAGCUGUAACUUAAGCAAAUUAACCUGAUCAAAGCAAAUAUUCACUGUUUCAGUAAAAGGAGAUAGACAGUGAUACAAAAAAAGAGUACUUUGCUUUUUUCCUUAAAAAAAUUCCUACUCUAUGAGGUUUGUGUCCUUAUAUGCCUGUAUGUGAUUAUUAAAAUGCAGUGAUAGUAAGCCAGAUAUUUAUGUGUUAUAUAAUGGCUUAACUGUUUUUAAUCUUGCAGCUGGAGUGUGGCAGUUUCGCUCUGAUUGUUCUGACCUUUUGUCUCAGUCUGGUGUUCCUGUACUUCUGGAGUGAAGCUCGGAAUGACUACAAAGACUUUGACUGGUUUGUGUCAUACAUAAAAGAUAUAUUUGACAUUAUUUAUUGACCUUCAUUGUUCAUUACUGUAAAUGUUAAAUUAUUUUCAAUCUGGAACAUUUCUUUAAUAGUUGAAUAGACAUAACAACAAUGGCAUUGUUAGUUUUAUCUCCACUUAGGUAGCGUAACUGGAAUACACUAAAGUGAUGUUUCUUCUGCUUUAACUCCAGGUUUAAUUUUGGUAAUCUGGGCUUCUGGUUUCCAUGCUGUAUAUAACUGUUCUAGUGACUCUGUACCUGGUUCCUUUGGGCAUGUACACCCCCUGCAUUAAAGAGAGGAGCAGUCUGGGAUCAGCUCCUGCUUUAAUUGGACACAGGGGAGCACCAAUGGUACACGUCAUUAUUCUUAGGCUUUUCAGGUUCAAACACCAACCUUUGAAUACUAUUUUUUUUCUGUAUUAAUAUGCUUUGUUAAUUUCUAGUUUAAGCAAGAUACCUCAGGUGAAUAGGGUAAAAAAAAAAUAGAUCACCAUACUUCUCAGUUUAAUCGAUUGCAUUAAGAAGUGCAAACAUUUAUUACAAAUUUUUGGAAAUGUUAUGUUUAAAGAUGCAAAUUAGGAAUUAUCUUAUAGAUUGUGCACUCAUUUACAUACAUUUCCAGAAACAGAAAUCUGGACAUUGGAUAAAGCCAGGUUCAAAAUUUGUUAAACGUUAUUUCAUUGGGGAUUUUGGAUAUCUCCUUUUAAUGCUCCAUAAAUGAGAAAAUACUGUCAAGAACCAGAAGAAAAAUUAUGUUGUAGAAGUAAAAUGUUUGCAUAUAAUCGAAAAAUCUGGUUUAUGUAAAAGUGUUGCUGAAGUGGGGACACAAAAUGUAUGAAAAUUGAAAGACAUUUAUAAUGAUUGAAAGACAUUUAUAAUGAUAAAUUUACCAUAGUUUGAUCUGAUUUUGUGUACUGAUUUCAAUCUUUUAUAAUAAAAAUGUGUACACACAUGGACGACAUGAUACUCAUUGAACACUAUUUUAACAUUUAUUCAGAAAAAAAAAUGUAUAUUUUUUAAUUAAAAAAAAGUCACUUGCACCUUUUUGGCACCAAUGUUUUGCUGACAACAUAGACAAAACAUUACAUUAAUGAGUUUAAAAGAAAUAAAAAUCCAUUGUGAUAAAAUAAAAUAUCACAUAAAAAGCACUUACAUCGAAGUAGUUAAUUGAAUGUGAUUAAUUUGACUGAAAUAGUAAUCUCAGCCAGUUAACAAUUUGGCCAAAUGGUCAAUUGAAAAGCCUUUACAGAUGCCUUCCCUAGUGAAAAAUAAAUAUACAAAAAUGUAUUUGAAGUACAUUUACUUCAUGAUAUACUACAAAUACAUUUACAUAUUAUUCACAUAUAACUAAAUAUAUACAGUAUUUAUAUAUAUAUAUAUAUAUAUAUAUAUGUGUGUGUGUGUGUGUGUGUGUGUGUGUGUGUGUGUGUGUGUUAUAAUAAUAAUAUAUAUAUUAUAUAUAUAUAUAUAUAUAUAUAUAUGUGUGUGUGUGUGUGUGUGUGUGUGUGUGUGUGUGUGUGUGUGAUAAAAAAAUUGUGAUUUUUAUUGAUUACAGAAAAUACGCUGCUGCUAACAUCAGCACCAACCUGUACGUGAUCAGCGAGCCAUGGCUGUAUUCUCUUGCCUGGUGAGCAGGGGCUCAUUCUGUCGCAACUAAUGCUAUUCACAUCCUCAAAAACCUGCAAAGACCACUCUUUCUCCUGGUAAAGGACACACAUCUACAGGUCUCAGGGAUUUUUUCAUUCUGUUAUUGGAGUUUUUUCCUGUGGCUUUCCGCUCUGUCUCUCACAGACACCGGAUGAGUACAGGCUUAUGUGGACCCUUACCGACAUCACUUCCCUUAUUCUUGUCAUGAUUAUCUUUGUGUUUCACUGGUGAGUCUAUGCACAGAAUUCACCACAUUUUAGUACAGUACAGAGAUGAUCUCACUGUGACACGGAUCAUGUAGUUGCAGCCUGAAAUUGCUCUGUACUCCAUAGAAAAGACACUGUGUAGGCUGUCAAUGGUGAUGUGUUUGCAGGUGGAGGGAGAGUGGGUUGGACAGCAGUUCAGCACUUGAAAAUGGGUCCUACAGACAGUUCAGGACAGGUAAGAUGCAUUCAAUCUUUUAAAUCACCAAAUAAUUGAAUAAUUAAAUGAGUUCAUCCAAAAAAUGAAAAACUGCUUUAAAUUUAGUCACCAAGAUGUAGAUGAGCUUGUUUUUUCAUCUGAAAACUUACAUCAGGAUUUCAUCACUUGCUCACCAAUGGAUCCUGUUUACACAAUGAUCCUGUGCAGUGAAUGGGUGCCGUCAGAAUUAGAGUCCAAACAGCAGAUAAAAACAUCACAGUAAUCACCACAACUAAUCCAUGUGACUCCAGUCCAUCAGUUAACAUCUUGUUAAGUGAAAAGCUGCAGGUUUGUCAGAAGCAAAUCCAUCAUUAAGGUGUUUUAACUUUAAACCGUCACUUCUUGACAAAAUCCAUAAUCCAUAAUGACACUUCCUCCAGUGAAAAAGCCCAUCCCCUGUUGUCCUCUCACAUCAAAAUCCACUGACAUAUUUGUUUAGAACUGUUUUGGACUGUUUUCACUUCUGUGUAUGACAGAUAGAUGAAGUGAGAGAAAAGUGUUUAUUAUGUUAGAAAUAUGGAUAUUUUUUCUUACAAAAAUGCAUGGAUUCGCUACAGGCGGCCUUCAUUCACCCUCCGGAGCUGUGUGAGGCAGGUUUUAUUAUGGAUGUGCGCACUUUAUUUCACAUCUUUUGGACUGUUGGAGGGGCCAGGACAAUUUUUAAUAUAACUCCGAUUGGUUCGUCUUAAAGAAAAAGGUCAUGUACACCUAGGAUGCUUUGAGGGUGAGUACAUCACAUGAUUUAAUCACCAGUUUGGACUCUCAUUCUGACGGCACCCAUUCACUGCAGAGGAUCUUUUGGUGAGUGAGUGAUGUAAUGCUAAAUUUCUCCAAAUCUGGAUUUUGGAUGGGCUAAGGGUGAGAAGAUUAUCAUUUUUGGGUGAAUUGAUCCUUUAAUCUGAAUCUUCAAGAAUAUUAUGCUGAUCAUGUUUCACAUUUCCAUGAACAGAGGUGAAUGAUGUGUGGUCUUUAUCCAACAUGAGUGACAAGCAAGAUCCAUCUCUUUAAAGUCCCUGAUGAAGUGUGUUGAUUCAUAUUUAACCCCUUAUUUAAAAAAAAAAAAAUACUCUAACUGAUGAUCAGUUGAGCAGUAUAUACCAGUUUAUGUGGUACAUUGAAAUCAUCCUUACAUUUUAUAAAUUGUAAGUGUUUGGUCACAAAAUGAUGGAUAAGUAGCUGUCCUAAUGUGAUAUGAUAGGAUACAAAUGCUAAAUUCUAGUGACUAAUCUUGCACCACAGACUUUAUAUUGUCAUUUGAGUUAUUGCCUUUCACAAGCCCCAGGUUCUAUCAAUGCUACUGUAAAGGUUUCCAUUUAAAGCAUGAAUGGAAAUAUUUGUCAUGCCGAUGAAACUAAUGUUUCCUUCACUGAAAUAUUAGUGGAUCCAUUGGUUUUAUGUUUCAUCUUAAGUGGUAUUUAAAAUCCAUGUCAUGGUUUUGGCUGAAUCAUUACCCCCAGACAGCAGCUUAAUAGUAUAAGAAUCCAAGAAGUCAUAAAUAAUUUUUGUGCUAAUGUUUUGUCCUUUUUGUCUCGUUUAAAUUUUUCAUUGUGUCUAACUGAUCAUUUUGUAAUAAUUUUUGGUUAUUGCAGUGUCUAUCUGCUAUAUGGUUUUCAGUUUUUUAAACUCUGUUUUUCUUCAUUAUUUGCAUAUUUUUUCUUUAAAUGUUAAGACUGUUACAAUCUUGUUUUUUAUUUUUU
rnacentral:lncRNA from 1 species